rnacentral:rRNA from 1 species
GACGGGUGAGUAAUGCCUGGGAAAUUGCCCGGUAGAGGGGGAUAACCAUUGGAAACGAUGGCUAAUACCGCAUAACCUCGCAAGAGCAAAGCAGGGGACCUUCGGGCCUUGCGCUACCGGAUAUGCCCAGGUGGGAUUAGCUAGUUGGUGAGGUAAGGGCUCACCAAGGCGACGAUCCCUAGCUGGUCUGAGAGGAUGAUCAGCCACACUGGAACUGAGACACGGUCCAGACUCCUACGGGAGGCAGCAGUGGGGAAUAUUGCACAAUGGGCGCAAGCCUGAUGCAGCCAUGCCGCGUGUAUGAAGAAGGCCUUCGGGUUGUAAAGUACUUUCAGUAGGGAGGAAGGUGGUUAAGCUAAUACCUUAAUCAUUUGACGUUACCUACAGAAGAAGCACCGGCUAACUCCGUGCCAGCAGCCGCGGUAAUACGGAGGGUGCAAGCGUUAAUCGGAAUUACUGGGCGUAAAGCGCAUGCAGGUGGUUUGUUAAGUCAGAUGUGAAAGCCCUGGGCUCAACCUAGGAAUCGCAUUUGAAACUGACAAGCUAGAGUACUGUAGAGGGGGGUAGAAUUUCAGGUGUAGCGGUGAAAUGCGUAGAGAUCUGAAGGAAUACCGGUGGCGAAGGCGGCCCCCUGGACAGAUACUGACACUCAGAUGCGAAAGCGUGGGGAGCAAACAGGAUUAGAUACCCUGGUAGUCCACGCCGUAAACGAUGUCUACUUGGAGGUUGUGACCUAGAGUCGUGGCUUUCGGAGCUAACGCGUUAAGUAGACCGCCUGGGGAGUACGGUCGCAAGAUUAAAACUCAAUGAAUUGACGGGGCCCGCACAAGCGGUGGAGCAUGUGGUUUAAUUCGAUGCAACGCGAAGAACCUUACCUACUCUUGACAUCCAGAGAAUCUAGCGGAGACCGCUGGAGUGCCUUCGGGAGCUUCUGAGAAAGGUGCUGCAUGGCUUUCGUCCGCUCGGUGUUGUGUAAUGUUGGGUUAAGUCCCGCAACGAGCGCAACCCUUAUCCUUGUUGGCCAGCACGUUUAUGGUGGGAACUCCAGGGAGACUGCCGGUGGUAUAACCGAAGGAAGGUGGGGACGACGUCAGGUCUAUCAUGGCCCUUACGAGUAGGGCUACACACGGUGCUACAAUGGCGUAUACAGAGCGCAUCGAUUACCGCGAAGGUGGAGCGAAUCUCACAAGGAACGUCGUAGUCCGGAUCGGAGUCGGCCACUCGACUCCGUAGGGUCUGAAUCGCUAGUCCUCGCAAGUCAGAAGGUUGCGGCCUGAACACGUUCUCUGGGCCUUGAACACAGCUUAGGUCAAUCCGUGCCUGUGGACUGCUAACCUCACACACAUAGCUUCCACCUUCGGGACUAACCGGUGAGGCGCAAU